rnacentral:lncRNA from 1 species
AUAUAAUAUGUUACACACACACACACACACACGUGUGUGUGUAUAUAUCCUGCAUAUAUCUGUAGAAUCCUGAGAUUCUAAAAGCAUAUAAAAGCAUUCCUAAAGCAUACAAUGAAGAACCAAUUCUAUUGUAAUCAUCUGCAGCACUUUUGUGGGAUCUUGUCAUCUUAUCAGAUUUAGCAGAUGCAUCCUUAACUCGGUUAUAAUAUUCUAAAAGGAAUGUUCAUUCAUGCUCAAAGAAAUCAUCUACAUCCUUUACUCCAGAAACAAUGACUCCAUCUGCUGAUUUAACCAUGUUUUUAAAGAAAUCUUCUAGUUUCUCUUUUUUAUUUUUUCCUCGCACACUCAAAUCUUGAUUAUAUUCCAGGAAGACAUGGAAAUUUAAAUCUUUCCUCAAAAUGGGAUGUGCAGCCACACGACACAGAAACACUUCAUGCAUUGCAACCAUCUUCUUGAAUAUUGCCAAAUACUCAAAUGUAACCUGCAUAGUCUUCAUUUUCAAUGAAGGAAUCGUGAAGCCAGAUAAAUUCCUCAUGUUGUCGAACAACAGAAAACUCAUUCUGUUUAAAAUUUAGCAAUGAACUCUUUGUGUGAACAGUGAAUUUUACUUUGUCUCUCUCACUCAGAGCAUCAGAAAUGUCCACGUGCAGAGCAGCAUCACUCUGAAAAUCUACAUUUAUUGCUUUAAGUCCGUGGUCCUUCUCCAAGAGGAAGUCGGGGCUGUUGUCCAGGCCUUCCAUCAUGGCUGCUCCGAGGCGAGGGCCAGCGCAGGCACAUAUGUGUGUGUGUGUGUGUGUGUGUGUGUGUAUGCUAAGUCUCUUGUCAUGUCCUCCUCCUGGGAAUCUUCCCAACCUCCUCUUUGUGACCCCAUAGACUAUAGCCAGGCUCCUCUGGCCAUGGGAUUCUUAAGGCAAGGAUAGUAGAGUGGCUUGCCAUUGCCUCCUCCAGGGGAUCUUCUCAACCCACGGAUCAAACCCGUGUCUUUUUAUGUCUCCUGCAUUGGCAAGCAGGUUCUUUAUCACUAGCACCACCUAGGAAGCUCAGUCAUGUCCAACUCUUUGGCAACCCCUUGGACUAUAGCCCACCAGGCUUGUGUGUCCAUGGGAUUUCCCAGGCAAGAAUACUGGAGUGGGUUGACAUUUCCUCCUCCAGGGGGUCUUACUGACCCAGCAUUAAAAUCCAUAUCUUCUGCAUCUUCCUGCAUUGGCAGGUAGAUUAUUUACUACUGAGCCACCUGGGAAGCCAUAUAUGUAUUUCUA